UACAGAGGGUGCAAGCGUUAAUCGGAAUUAUUGGGCGUAAAGAGCUUGUAGGCGGUUUGUCGCGUCUGCCGUGAAAUUUCGAGGCUCAACCUCGAACUUGCGGUGGGUACGGGCAGACUAGAGUGUGGUAGGGGAGACUGGAAUUCCUGGUGUAGCGGUGAAAUGCGCAGAUAUCAGGAGGAACACCGAUGGCGAAGGCAGGUCUCUGGGCCACUACUGACGCUGAGAAGCGAAAGCAUGGGGAGCGAACAGG
rnacentral:rRNA from 1 species